CCUACGUGUGGCAGCAGUGGGGAAUAUUGCGCAAUGGGCGUAAGCCUGACGCAGCGACGCCGCGUGAGGGAUGAAGGUCUUCGGAUCGUAAACCUCUGUCAGCAGGGAAGAACGGUCACUGUGCUAAUCAGCAGUGAAUUGACGGUACCUGCAAAGGAAGCACCGGCUAACUCCGUGCCAGCAGCCGCGGUAAUACGGAGGGUGCGAGCGUUAAUCGGAAUUACUGGGCGUAAAGCGGUCGUAGGCGGGAAGUCAAGGCCAGGGUGAAAUCCCCGCGCUCACCGUGGGACCUGCCUUGGAAACUGGCAAACUGGAGUGUGUGAGAGGAUAGUGGAAUUCCAGGUGUAGGAGUGAAAUCCGUAGAUAUCUGGAAGAACAUCAGUGGCGAAGGCGACUAUCUGGCACAUAACUGACGCUGAGGAGCGAAAGCGUGGGUAGCGAACAGGAUUAGAUACCCUUGUAGUC
rnacentral:rRNA from 1 species